GAUGAACGCUGGCGGCAUGCCUAACACAUGCAAGUCGAUCGGUAAGGCUCUUCGGAGUACACGAGAGGCGGACGGCUGAGUAACGCGUAGGAACACACCCUGCAGUGAGGGAUAAGACACCGAAAGGUGUUCUAAUACCGCAUACGGUCUUCGGAUUAAAGCAUUUAUGCGCUGAAGGAGUGGCCUGCGUCAUAUUAGAUAGUUGGUGAGGUAAUGGCUCACCAAGUCGAUGAUGUGUAGCUGGUCUGAGAGGAUGAUCAGCCAGACUGGAACUGAGACACGGUCCAGACUCCUACGGGAGGCAGCAGUGAGGAAUAUUUCACAAUGAGCGAAAGCUUGAUGGAGCAAUGCCGCGUGCAGGAUGAAGGCCCUCGGGUUGUAAACUGCUUUCAUAAGAGAAGAUUAUGACGGUAACUUAUGAAUAAGGGACGGCUAACUACGUG
rnacentral:rRNA from 1 species